GUUUUAGUAGCGCAAUGGAUAGCGCUUUGGACUUUGAAUUCAAAAGUCAUGGGUUCGAAUUCCACUUGGAAUG